AGGACGAACGCUGGCGGCGCGCCUAACACAUGCAAGUCGAGCGAGAACCAGGGCUUGCCCUGGGGACAGCGGCGAACGGGUGCGUAACACGUGAGCAACCUGCCCCAAAGACCGGGACAACCCGAGGAAACUCGGACUAAUACCGGAUGCCCUCACCGGGUCGCAUGGUCUGGUGAGGAAAUGGAUUCCGCUUUGGGAUGGGCUCGCGGUCUAUCAGCUUGUUGGUGGGGUAACGGCCUACCAAGGCGACGACGGAUAGCUGGUCUGAGAGGACGAUCAGCCACACUGGGACUGAGACACGGCCCAGACUCCUACGGGAGGCAGCAGUGGGGAAUCUUGCGCAAUGGGGGAAACCCUGACGCAGCGACGCCGCGUGCGGGAUGAAGGCCCUAGGGUUGUAAAGCUCUUUUGUGCGGGAAGAUAAUGACGGUACCGCAAGAAUAAGCCCCGGCUAACUUCGUGCCAGCAGCCG
rnacentral:rRNA from 1 species